rnacentral:lncRNA from 1 species
CAUGUGUGUGCGCACAUCGUCCCGUGUGGUGUUGCGCCUACUGGAAGAGCGGAUUGGCGACGCCGCUGGGUCCGCCGGUCUUGCCAAAGUCCACCACGUUGGCGGCGCCCCGCGGGUUGAGGAGGCCCUGGAGGACGGCGUUGGCGUGCUGCGCCUUGAACGCCGCGUUGAGGUCGGUGUUGGCAAAGACGGCGGCCUCCUCGGGCGACAUGUCUGACUGCCACUGCGAGGGCGCGCCCACGCUGAAACCGCGGCCCUGGCCGCCGGGCACCAUGAAGAACGGGUUGGUGCCCUCGGUGGCCAUCGGGUUCUGCAGCCACUGGACAUAGUUGGCGGCCAGCGCAUCGGGCGAGAACACGUUCUGCAGUUCCGGCGGCAGGGUCUGGUUGAGCAGGGCGUUACGCUCGGCCAGCUGCUCGUUGAGGCUCUGGUUGGCCGUGGCGCGCGCGCCGCCGCGCUGGUAGACCUGACGGUUGGCGUUGACCACGUAGUUGCUCGUGGUGCCGCAGCUAAAGGUGGGCGCCGCCUCGACGCCGGCGUCGUUGAGUCCGGUGCCGACGUGCUUGCGCGUGCGCGGGUACAGCCGCAGGCCAAAGAAGCCGUUGCCGUUGGCGCGGGCCGUCUGGUUCACGCCCGGUCCGGAGCCGACGAUUCCGGCGCACUGCCCGUUGGGGUUGGUCGGGUCAGAGAGCGCGUUGCCCUCGGCGUCACGCAGCGGGAACGCCGUGAGGCCGCGUCGCUGGCCGGGAAGGGUGUAGCCCUCGCGCCAGCCAAAGCCGCGCGCGCUGCCGGUCUGCGCAAACUGGUCGACGAUGGCCUGGUUGACGGCCUGCAGGUUGGUCUCGCCGUUGGGACCCACGAUCUUGUUGGCGUGCCUGAGCGCCAGGUUGGCCGCGCCGUAGGCGCCCUUGGCCUGGUCGGCCGGGUCGACGCCGUAGAUGCUGUACCAGUUGGCCACGUCGCGACGGAACUGCGGGUUGGCCGCCAGGCUCUCGAUGGUGUUGCCGGGCGCCAGGGCAAAGCGCACGUUGCCGUUGCCGUCGAGGCUGGCCAGCACGUUGAUGCCGUUGUUCCUAAACACCUGGGCGAGUCCGUAGAGGGCGCCCUGGCCGAUGGCGUUUUCAACGGCCUCGCGCGAGGCCUGGGUGUUGCCCCUCGCGGUCUCGUUGAUCAUGUUGAGCCAGCCCUUGCUGCCCACCUUGAGGUAGCCGGACCGCUGGUUGAGCGGGCUCUUGAUGCGCACCUGGCCGGCGGGCACGCCCUGCUGGAGGGCCGCCAGCUGACGGAAGGAACCAGGGGCGACGAUGCCGACGCCGGCAUUGACCUGCGACGCGGGCACGUAGAGCGCGGCCCGAUCGUCCUGGUAGUAUUGGUUGACGUUGGGCAGGUAAAACUCGAACCGGCCCUCGGGUCCGAUCGGCCCGCCGAGACCCGUGGAGAGGACGACGCCUUGGGCCGCGCCGUCGGCCACAGCGUUCUGGUCUCGCUGGCUGACCUGGUUGAGCGCGUCUGCCACCUCCUGGGUGAUGACGAUCUGCUGCUUGUUGUUGAAAAAGCCACGGCCGGCGUUGGCCGCCGUGCCGUAGCCGAGCAUGAGGCCCUCCUGGCCGGGCGCGGCGGCGCCCGGCACGGCGGCCAGGCCGAGGGUGGCCUCUUGGAUGGGUCGCAGACCGGAGCCCGCCGGCAGGCUGCGCCUGCGGUUCCUCCCGUAGCUUGCGUUUCCGACGGUCGACGACAUGACUGGCUGUGCUUAUCUAUCGGGCACACGGGAUUGUGGCUUGGUGCGACGAGUGAUGAGGCGGGCG